UGGGGCUAACGGGAGGGCUGCACACAGCCACCACCACACAGGACUAGAAGCCAGAACCACACAACUUUCAUAUACCUUCCACACACACAUACUCAUCUGUCACACUCACACCAUCAACCAUUCCUAAUCAGCAAUUGAGAAACUAAAAGGAACUAAUACUAAAAGGACUAAAAGGAACUAAUUCUAACCCAGCGGCCAUAAGUGAUUCAGUCCAGUUUACCAUACAGUCCUUAGAAUAAAUCUCCACAAAACAUUCGUAACAUGUCUUACAACGAGAGAAGGCCACCAGAUAACACAGUCACCAGUUCAACCCACCGGGGGAUCAUGACAUUGUGGGAAGACUAGCUAUCAGACUGCACAUCAAUUCUGAAUCAGGUGUAUUGUUGAUACAGGGCUAAACCAGGGUUUGACAAGAGUUGCCAGUGUCUGAUUCUACACCCGAACACAGCAGAGUGGGCGGGGCCUGCAGACUGACCCAGUUACACCUGCAGCGAGCAGACAGAGGAAGAGGAGUGUGAGAUCCACAGGGGAAAGGAGCAGGAGAAAGAGAACGACAGCUGUCGCCAGCAGACGGGCAUUGACUGUCGGACUAAUUGAAAUCGGAAGAGGCCGGCGCCCAAGGACGGUGUGACAGCAGUGGUGCCAAUGACGAGAGUGAUGUUGGCCCGAGGUGACGGUGAACAGUUGAUACUCUGCCCCAUCGUGUGAGCAA
rnacentral:lncRNA from 1 species